AUUUCCAAUAGUCACAGGUACCUUCUAAUAGUCAACAGGUCCAACAUUAUAAUAGUCAAAGAUCAACAGAGUCAACAUUAUAAUAGUCAACAGGUCAACAUUUAAAUAGUCAAUAGGAGUCAACAGGUCAACACUCUUAUAGUCAACAGGCCAACCCUCUUAUAGUCCAAACAGGUCACCACUGUACAUAUUCAACAGGUCAACACUCUUAUGUCUACAGGUGAUC
rnacentral:lncRNA from 1 species